rnacentral:tRNA from 2 species
CCGACUUUAGCUCAGUUGGUAGAGCGGAGGACUGUAGAUCCUUAGGUCGCUGGUUCGAAUCCGGCAGGUCGGA